UACGUAGGGGGCUAGCGUUGUCCGGAAUCAUUGGGCGUAAAGAGCGCGUAGGCGGUCCGGUAAGUCGGUUGUGAAAGUCGGGGGCUCAACCCUCGGAUGCCGAUCGAUACUGUCGGGCUAGAGUCCGGAAGAGGCGAGUGGAAUUCCCGGUGUAGCGGUGAAAUGCGCAGAUAUCGGGAGGAACACCUAUGGCGAAGGCAGCUCGCUGGGACGUUACUGACGCUGAGACGCGAAAGCGUGGGGAGCAAACAGG
rnacentral:rRNA from 1 species